rnacentral:lncRNA from 1 species
CUCAAUAUCAUAGGUUUCUCUCCAUCCCAAAAUAUAUGAAAUUACAUUUGGUAGAAGUGAUGAAACGUUAGCAUCAUAUCGCAGAAGCUCAAACUUACUUUUAAGGAAUAAACAUUUACAUUUACAAUUGGCACAAAGUAAAGAGAAACACCUAAAUUCACCUAAUACAAAAAUAACAGAAGUAAAUUCAUUGUCCUAGUAUGGAAACAAAGCAGAGGCAUCUUCAACGAUCCGUCAACUGUGUAGGUGCAACUUGACAGCUUAGAAGAUAUGUCUAAGUUCAGGAUAUAUAUAUAUUCUGCCGAACAGCCAAAGUGCUUCCCAUAGAUAUGUUGAUUAUCUUGAGCAUCUCUAUUGAGCUGCCAUUUAACAAUGGGACAUUGCCCCAAUGAAAUUCCCAUUAUGUUAGCCUUUUAGAGAAGUUACUCAUCGAAGAAGCUAUUGGAGCAAAAAAAAAAAAAAAAAAAAAAAAAAUAACGAUGGCAUUCCAACAAAAUAGAAGAAUAAAUGACAAAUCAUAAGGUAAAUUAUUUUCUCCUAUAUCAUAUAAUUGAUUCUAAAUAAUUUUUGGGUGAUUCAACACAGCAUGAAAGUUUUCGUGUCAAAUACAAUGGGAGAAUAAUCAGAGAGUGCAAACAGUUGAUUCUUUAGCUCAAAUAGAAUCUACCAUAACUUCUUUUUAUUUCUAAGCAGAUGGAGUGCAUGUAUAUUAGUUGCUACUGACUAAACAAUUUUACUUUGUAAUGUUCAGAUUACCUCAUUCUUAUGCUUUAUCCUCUUUGUUAGGAUCGGGAAUCCGGGUAGUGCUGAAUUUAGCCAAACAACAGUAUAAUGACAAUAACAAAGACAAUGGAAGUUGAUAAUAAUGACAAUUAAAGAAUAUAAAGAAGACACAAAUUUAACGUGGUUCGGUCAAGGUGACCUACGUCCAUAAGCGGAGAUGAGCAAUUUUACUAUACCAACAAGAGUACAAAAGAGAGUACAAAAUUAGAGUAAAUACUCUAAUUAAUCCCAAAUACCCCAAGAGAAUAACCUCACAAGAUCACUCCAAAGAAAAGGUUCACACAAGUAUUUUCCAACACUCACUCUCUUACAAAAUACUCUAUAAUGAAA